rnacentral:rRNA from 1 species
CAAGUCGAACGCUGUGUGAAGCAUUCAACUGAUUUGAAGAGCUUGCUCAGAUAUGACGAUGGACAUUGCAAAGAGUGGCGAACGGGUGAGUAACACGUGGGAAACCUACCUCUUAGCAGGGGAUAACAUUUGGAAACAGAUGCUAAUACCGUAUAACAAUGACAACCGCAUGGUUGUUAUUUAAAAGAUGGUUCUGCUAUCACUAAGAGAUGGUCCCGCGGUGCAUUAGCUAGUUGGUAAGGUAAUGGCUUACCAAGGCGAUGAUGCAUAGCCGAGUUGAGAGACUGAUCGGCCACAAUGGGACUGAGACACGGCCCAUACUCCUACGGGAGGCAGCAGUAGGGAAUCUUCCACAAUGGGCGAAAGCCUGAUGGAGCAACGCCGCGUGUGUGAUGAAGGGUUUCGGCUCGUAAAACACUGUUGUAAGAGAAGAAUGACAUUGAGAGUAACUGUUCAAUGUGUGACGGUAUCUUACCAGAAAGGAACGGCUAAAUACGUGCCAGCAGCCGCGGUAAUACGUAUGUUCCAAGCGUUAUCCGGAUUUAUUGGGCGUAAAGCGAGCGCAGACGGUUAUUUAAGUCUGAAGUGAAAGCCCUCAGCUCAACUGAGGAAUUGCUUUGGAAAACUGGAUGACUUGAGUUGCAGUAGAGGAAAAGUGGAAC